GUGUGUGUGUGAGUGUGCGCGUGCACAUGUAUGUAUGUCUGGAGAAUUGGUGUUCCACUUAGGUGAGAGGACUGGCUGUGAGCUUCAGACCAGGAAAUGUGUCAUCUUGCCAGGCACCUGGCUGAGUGUGCCGGAGUGAGGAUCUUGAACAGAAACUUCAUUUUCUGUUAUUAUUCACUACAAAGCUAAAAUGGCCAAAUAUAUACUGUGAAAAUUGGUUUCAUCUAACAAAAGAUCAGACCCCUCCUUCAGCUGUACACGUUUAAAUAAAACCACAUUGAACUUAAAAAAAAAUUAAAAAAAUAAGACUUGAAAGUCGAAAUUACCCUUUGAUCCAUGGGCUGCAGAAUGGGUGUUGUGUUCACAGGCAUGAAAACAUGAAUUUCCUUGCACAUCUCCAUCAGAGCUCCUUAAUAACCAGGUGCAUUGUCAAUGAGAAGUAAUUUUAAAAGGAGCCUUUUUCUGAGCAGUAGGUCGUGGGCUUAAAAUAUUGAGUAAACCAUGCUGUAUACAGACGUGCUGACAUCCACACUUUGUUGUUCCAUUUAUGGAGCACAGGCAGAGCAGAUUUAACAUAAUUCUUAAGGACCCUAGGAUUUUUGGAAUUGCAAAUGGCUUCAGCUUAAAGUGACCAGUUGCAUUAACCUCUAACAAGAGAGUCAGUCUGCCCUUUGAAGCUUUGAAGUCAGGCAUUGACUUCUCUCUAGCUAUCAAAGUCCUAGAUGGCUUCUUCUUGCAACAGAAGGCUGUUUUUGUCUACACUGAAAAUCUGCUGUUUAGUGUAGCCACCUUCAUCAAUGAGCUUAGCUAGACGUUCUGGAUAACUUGCUGCAGCUUCUACAUCAGCACCUGCUGAUUCAUCUUGCAUUUUUAGGGAGAUGACUUCUUUAUCUAAACCUCAUGAACCAACCUCUGCUAGCAUCAAACUUUUCUCCUGCAGCUUCCUCACCUCUCUCAUCCUUCAUAGACUUGAAGAGAGUGAGGGCUUUGCUCUGGAUUAGAUGUUGGCUUAAGAGAAUGCUGUGGCUGGUUUCAUCUUCUAUCCAGACCACUAAAAUUUUCUCCAUAUCAACAAUAAGGCCAUUUCACUUUCUUAUCAUUCAUGUGUUCAAUGAAGUAGCACCUAUACUUUCCUUCAAGAACUUCUCCUUUGCAUUCACAACUUGGCUGUUUGGCACAAGAGGCCUAGUUUCAACAUGCCUUCCUCAUGAAACAAUCAUUUCUAGCUUUUGAUUUGAAGUGAGAGACAUAGGACUUUUCCUAUCACCUGAACACGUAGAGGUCACUGUAGGGUUAGUCAUAGGCCUAAUUUUAAUGAUUGUAUCUUAGGAAGUAGGGAGGCUCAAGGAGAGGGAGAGAGAUGGGGAAAGUAGUCAGAACACAUACAUCUGUCAAUUCAGUUAGCUAUUUUCUAUAGAUGUGGUUUGUGGUACACCAAAAUAACAAUAGUAGCAUCAAAGAUGACUGAUCAUAGAUAACCAUAACAGAUACAAUAAUAAUGCAAAGUCUAAAAUAUUAUGAGAGUUACCAAAGUGUCACACAGAGACACAAAGCAAGAACAAACUGUUGGGAAAAUGGUGCUGAUAGACUUGCUCAACAGAGUUGCCACAAACCUUCAAUGUGUUAAAACAAACAAACAAGAAACCACAGUAUCUGUGAGGCACAAUGAAGUGUAAUAAAAUGAAGUAGGUCUGUAUUAUAUUUCUGGUCAUGAUUUACAGGUAAUAGUCAUAUCAUCUGUUUCUUUAUAAUUUCCACCAUUGUUUGGGAAUUGUAUCAGGACCCACAGAAGGCCUACUGUAAAAAACAAAAGUUAUAUCUCUUACCAAAAAAAAAAAAAAAAAAAAAAACUGUGGCCAUAGCAGAUAUAUGUCUAAAAGCUGUUCAAUUAGUAAAGAGUGUCC
rnacentral:lncRNA from 1 species